GACGAACGCUGGCGGCGUGCCUAAUACAUGCAAGUCGAACGAACCGCGACUAGGUGCUUGCACUUGGUCAAGGUGAGUGGCGAACGGGUGAGUAACACGUGGGUAACCUACCUCAUAGUGGGGGAUAACAGUCGGAAACGACUGCUAAAACCGCAUAGGCCAUAGGAUCACAUGAUUCUGUGAGGAAAGGUGGCGCAAGCUAUCGCGACGAGAUCGACCCGCGGUGCAUUAGCUAGUUGGUAGGGUAAAGGCCUACCAAGGCGAUGAUGCAUAGCCGACCUGAGAGGGUGAUCGGCCACAUUGGGACUGAGACACGGCCCAAACUCCUACGGGAGGCAGCAGUGGGGAAUAUUCCGCAAUGGACGCAAGUCUGACGGAGCAACGCCGCGUGAGUGAAGAAGGUCUUCGGAUCGUAAAGCUCUGUUGUUAGGGAAGAACAGCGCAUAGAGUAACUGUUAUGCGUGUGACGGUAUCUAAACAGAAAGCCACGGCUAACUACGUG
rnacentral:rRNA from 1 species